rnacentral:rRNA from 1 species
AGUGAACGCUGGCGGUAGGCCUAACACAUGCAAGUCGAGCGGCAGCACAGUAAGAGCUUGCUCUUACGGGUGGCGAGUGGCGGACGGGUGAGGAAUACAUCGGAAUCUACUUUUUCGUGGGGGAUAACGUAGGGAAACUUACGCUAAUACCGCAUACGACCUACGGGUGAAAGCAGGGGAUCUUUGGACCUUGCGCGAUUGAAUGAGCCGAUGUCGGAUUAGCUAGUUGGCGGGGUAAAGGCCCACCAAGGCGACGAUCCGUAGCUGGUCUGAGAGGAUGAUCAGCCACACUGGAACUGAGACACGGUCCAGACUCCUACGGGAGGCAGCAGUGGGGAAUAUUGGACAAUGGGCGCAAGCCUGAUCCAGCCAUACCGCGUGGGUGAAGAAGGCCUUCGGGUUGUAAAGCCCUUUUGUUGGGAAAGAAAAGCAGCAGGUUAAUACCCCGCUGUUCUGACGGUACCCAAAGAAUAAGCACCGGCUAACUUCGUG